GAAAAGGAAGAGAAGAUAUUUAAAGUGGAAAUAUUUCAAGGACAAAUGUUAUUUAUUGUAACUUUGGCUGUUUGUUUUUGUAGAACAUUUCAUCCAGAC